GGGCGCACGGUGGAUGCCUUGACACUAGGAGUCGAUGAAGGACGGGACUAACGCCGAUAUGCUUCGGGGAGCUGUAAGUAAGCUUUGAUCCGAAGAUUUCCGAAUGGGGAAACCCACCAUACGUAAUGGUAUGGUAUCCUUAUCUGAAUACAUAGGAUAAGGAAGACAGACCCAGGGAACUGAAACAUCUAAGUACCUGGAGGAAGAGAAAGCAAAUGCGAUUUCCUGAGUAGCGGCGAGCGAAACGGAACAUAGCCCAAACCAAGAGGCUUGCCUCUUGGGGUUGUAGGACAUUCUAUACGGAGUUACAAAGGAACGAGGUAGACGAAGCGACCUGGAAAGGUCCGUCGUAGAGGGUAACAACCCCGUAGUCGAAACUUCGUUCUCUCUUGAAUGUAUCCUGAGUACGGCGGAACACGUGAAAUUCCGUCGGAAUCUGGGAGGACCAUCUCCCAAGGCUAAAUACUCCCUAGUGAUCGAUAGUGAACCAGUACCGUGAGGGAAAGGUGAAAAGCACCCCGGAAGGGGAGUGAAAGAGAUCCUGAAACCGUGUGCCUACAAAUAGUCAGAGCCCGUUAACGGGUGAUGGCGUGCCUUUUGUAGAAUGAACCGGCGAGUUACGAUCCCGUGCGAGGUUAAGCUGAAGAGGCGGAGCCGCAGCGAAAGCGAGUCUGAAUAGGGCGUUUAGUACGUGGUCGUAGACCCGAAACCAGGUGAUCUACCCAUGUCCAGGGUGAAGUUCAGGUAACACUGAAUGGAGGCCCGAACCCACGCACGUUGAAAAGUGCGGGGAUGAGGUGUGGGUAGCGGAGAAAUUCCAAUCGAACCUGGAGAUAGCUGGUUCUCCCCGAAAUAGCUUUAGGGCUAGCCUUAAGUGUAAGAGUCUUGGAGGUAGAGCACUGAUUGGACUAGGGGUCCUCAUCGGAUUACCGAAUUCAGUCAAACUCCGAAUGCCAAUGACUUAUCCUUAGGAGUCAGACUGCGAGUGAUAAGAUCCGUAGUCAAAAGGGAAACAGCCCAGACCGCCAGCUAAGGUCCCAAAGUGUGUAUUAAGUGGAAAAGGAUGUGGAGUUGCUUAGACAACUAGGAUGUUGGCUUAGAAGCAGCCACCAUUUAAAGAGUGCGUAAUAGCUCACUAGUCGAGUGACUCUGCGCCGAAAAUGUACCGGGGCUAAAUACACCACCGAAGCUGCGGAUUGAUACCAAUGGUAUCAGUGGUAGGGGAGCGUUCUAAGGACAGUGAAGUCAGACCGGAAGGACUGGUGGAGUGCUUAGAAGUGAGAAUGCCGGUAUGAGUAGCGAAAGACGGGUGAGAAUCCCGUCCACCGAAUGCCUAAGGUUUCCUGAGGAAGGCUCGUCCGCUCAGGGUUAGUCAGGACCUAAGCCGAGGCCGACAGGCGUAGGCGAUGGACAACAGGUUGAUAUUCCUGUACCACCUCUUUAUCGUUUGAGCAAUGGAGGGACGCAGAAGGAUAGAAGAAGCGUGCGAUUGGUUGUGCACGUCCAAGCAGUUAGGCUGAUAAGUAGGCAAAUCCGCUUAUCGUGAAGGCUGAGCUGUGAUGGGGAAGCUCCUUAUGGAGCGAAGUCUUUGAUUCCCCGCUGCCAAGAAAAGCUUCUAGCGAGAUAAAAGGUGCCUGUACCGCAAACCGACACAGGUAGGCGAGGAGAGAAUCCUAAGGUGUGCGAGAGAACUCUGGUUAAGGAACUCGGCAAAAUGACCCCGUAACUUCGGGAGAAGGGGUGCUUUCUUAACGGAAAGCCGCAGUGAAUAGGCCCAAGCGACUGUUUAGCAAAAACACAGCUCUCUGCGAAGCCGUAAGGCGAAGUAUAGGGGGUGACACCUGCCCGGUGCUGGAAGGUUAAGGAGAGGGGUUAGCGUAAGCGAAGCUCUGAACUGAAGCCCCAGUAAACGGCGGCCGUAACUAUAACGGUCCUAAGGUAGCGAAAUUCCUUGUCGGGUAAGUUCCGACCCGCACGAAAGGUGUAACGAUUUGGGCACUGUCUCAACCAGAGACUCGGUGAAAUUAUAGUACCUGUGAAGAUGCAGGUUACCCGCGACAGGACGGAAAGACCCCGUGGAGCUUUACUGUAGCCUGAUAUUGAAUUUUGGUACAGUUUGUACAGGAUAGGCGGGAGCCUUUGAAACCGGAGCGCUAGCUUCGGUGGAGGCGCUGGUGGGAUACCGCCCUGACUGUAUUGAAAUUCUAACCUACGGGUCUUAUCGACCCGGGAGACAGUGUCAGGUGGGCAGUUUGACUGGGGCGGUCGCCUCCUAAAGUGUAACGGAGGCGCCCAAAGGUUCCCUCAGAAUGGUUGGAAAUCAUUCGUAGAGUGCAAAGGCAUAAGGGAGCUUGACUGCGAGACCUACAAGUCGAGCAGGGACGAAAGUCGGGCUUAGUGAUCCGGUGGUUCCGCAUGGAAGGGCCAUCGCUCAACGGAUAAAAGCUACCCCGGGGAUAACAGGCUUAUCUCCCCCAAGAGUCCACAUCGACGGGGAGGUUUGGCACCUCGAUGUCGGCUCAUCGCAUCCUGGGGCUGUAGUCGGUCCCAAGGGUUGGGCUGUUCGCCCAUUAAAGCGGUACGCGAGCUGGGUUCAGAACGUCGUGAGACAGUUCGGUCCCUAUCCGUCGUGGGCGUAGGAAAUUUGAGAGGAGCUGUCCUUAGUACGAGAGGACCGGGAUGGACGCACCGCUGGUGUACCAGUUGUUCUGCCAAGGGCAUAGCUGGGUAGCUAUGUGCGGAAGGGAUAAGUGCUGAAAGCAUCUAAGCAUGAAGCCCCCCUCAAGAUGAGAUUUCCCAUAGCGUAAGCUAGUAAGAUCCCUGAAAGAUGAUCAGGUUGAUAGGUUCGAGGUGGAAGCAUGGUGACAUGUGGAGCUGACGAAUACUAAUAGAUCGAGGACUUAACCAU
rnacentral:rRNA from 7 species